CUCGGCCCCGCCCCCACACCACAGCCGGAGCUCGCUCCUGCGCGUGCGCUCUCCCGGACCCGAGUGAAUAGUCCUCGCGCGGGGGGGGGGGGGACAGGGCGGUGAGUGCUUUCCCCUCGCCUCCAGCCUCCAGGAGGUUCCCGGCGCCUCAGGCAGCUGCAGCUUCGAAGCGGCUGCCACCGCACCUGGGCAGUCUGGACCCUCGUGCCCUGCUCCCGAGGCCUUGCGCGGUGGGCGCCCCGGGACACCCUGCGGGCCGGGUGGAGGAGGAGAAAGAAGAAUAAGAGGAAGACGUGGACCAGGAUCCCCAACCUCCCCACAACACCUGGCCUCUCCGCUUCCACUUCUUUCACACAAGGAGAGAGGAGCCAGCGAAAGCCAUGGGGGGCUGCGAAGUCCGAGAAUUUCUUUGGCAAUUUGGAUUCUUUUUGCCUCUGAGGACAGCUUGGCCGGGCUACUGUAGUCACGUCUCCAACAACCAAGGUAACAUGGAUCUACCUAGUGGGACGGCAGCUCCACAGCAGAUUCACAGAGCAAAAGGAAACCAGGUCAGUAAGUAUAUGCUUAUAUCAUGUCAUCAACAAGUGCUAAACCCAGACUCUUACUGGCUGUGUUUUGGAACUUGAAAGUUAUCCCAGCCCAACUCUAUCAUGGUUGUAAAAG
ensembl:lincRNA